rnacentral:miRNA from 1 species
AGAGCUGGCUGAAGGGCAG